CCCCAAUCUGUCGAUCCCCUCUCCGCUUGCCUCCUCCUCUCCCGGGUCGCCGCGCCGCCGACUCAGCCGCUUCUCCUGCGCCUUCUCCUCCCCGCUCCCCAGAUCGGCGUCCAGCGCAGGAGGAUCCGGGUGGUCGUGGUGGCGGCAUGUUCAGCGGCCUCGCCGGAUUGUUAGCCUCCUCAAUCCCCUCGCACAGGCGCCGCCGCCAAGCCUGCCCUCGACCGUGGCGCCGCCGGCGUCACUCCUGUCGCUCGUGCCGCCACCGCCACCGGCCCUCGCACAGCCGCAGCUGCAUGCUCUCCUCUGCUGCCCCAGCGCCCCGAGCAUCACCCCGUCGAAUAGGCGCUCCCCACGUUAGCGCCUUCUCCAUGGAUCAGCCACUGACGGCCAUCAACGCCGGUGACCCAAUCCAUAGGAAGCCGCCAGCCGUCGCCGAGGACAGAGAAGGUCCGGUGUCUAGAACCGUCGCUACCUAUCCUGCCAAGCUUCCCGCCCAGGACGAGUAUCCCUCCCAGCCCCCUGCGCCACCAUCCGCCUCUGGCAAUUUCGUAUGCGUGUAGGCGACAGUGGAACAAAUUCAGACAGUCAGUUAUCCGUCCGUCAGAAUAUUCAGGUGUUUGGCAAUAUUGGCUCUUGGGCUGCCCAAUUGAUCACUGAAGCUGGUGGCAAGGUGGUCUCCAUCAGAGAUGUCACAGGGGCUGUCAAGAACUCCAAUGGCAUUGACAUAGCCAAGCUGAUGAAGCACUCGGCAGAGAACCGCGGGAUCAAGGGCUUUGACGGAGGCGACGCCGUCGACCCGACCUCGCUGCUCACGGAAGAGUGCGAUGUGCGCAUCCCGGAAGCUCUGGGAGGAGUCAUAAACAAGGACAAUGCUGAUGCCAUAAAAGCAAAGUACAUCAUCGAGGCUGUUAACCACCCAACAGACCCUGAGGCCGACGAGGCAA